rnacentral:pre_miRNA from 1 species
CUACUACUCCCUCCGUCCGAAAAUACUUGUCAUUGAAAUAGAUGUAUCUAGAUGUAUUUUAGUUCUAGACACAUCCAUUUUGAUGACAUGUAAUUCCGGACGGAGGGAGUAUUAU